rnacentral:lncRNA from 1 species
GUCAAAAACAAUCAAAUUUAAGCAAAUAAUUCAAAAGACAAUGGGCAUUUACGUACAAUUAAUAGUUCGAAAUGGUGGAAAUUAUUCAAAGAACUUAUAAUUAAACAAUUUAUAAUGCUUUGUGUAAUGUGACAUUUAGAUUCUAUAAUUAAUUAUUUAAUGUUCGAUUGCCUACAAAUCGUAGCUUUAACUUGCUUUAAGAUACUUCCUAUAUGCCAGGACAAAUGUACCUGUCAAGAUGAAUAUGCAUACGUGGAAUACCCACACACACACAGCACCAGUAGCAUUAAGUAAAGUAAUUAUGAACACAUGGCUAAUGCAUCCUCCUAAUGAAACCAUAAAUAAUUUCACGCUUCCGUUACGUCUGUGGUUUAGCUGAAACCUCCUUAAAGUAUGUACUCGAUACGUUAUUCUUUGACACAAAGACGUAUGUGUUCCUACCGUUACUUGUGGUGAGUAAAAUUAUAAAUAGUUCUUAAGUUUCGUUGGUUAUUUCCGAAGAAUAAUAUGUGCAAACACAUAUCGCACGUGGACAUAUAUCUGACUUAACCGAGCCUGGGAACCAUGGCAUAUAAGUAGCCUCUUGAGCAACAAACUUCUAUUAGAGAGCUAUAUUUGAUAGCUCCAUAUUGGGCACAUCUUUAAGAUGUAUGAAAGAUAUUUCAACAAAUCACAAUAGCACAAAAUAUAAGUCUGUAAUAAUUACAUUUCUUGCCCAAUCCUUAUUUAUAUUCAUAAUUUGAUGCCCUCACAUGUUUUAGCCUUGUAAUUUCAUUACAUAUUUCAAGAAACACAUUUUGGCAACCACACUCUUGAGGCUUGGCACUGUCACAAUUUCUUAAAUAGUUUAUAAAAUACAUACAAUUAUUAUUGCUCAUCUGAUGUAGAGCCAACAAGAGAUGCAGCAUAACUGCUGGCAUAUCCCAAAAGGACCUGAUUCGAAUUUUAGAGGGAAAUUAGUGCGCAGGCGUUGGAGUCCGACUCUUGCUGUUACGAGCUACCGGAUUUUAAUUGUUGCAUUUGAGAACUAAUUUCAGAAAUAAUUGCAGCUCGGAAACAAUAAAUAUAAACUUUUGCGGAAUAGGCCAAGACUAGGAGCUACUUCGUAAUGCUCUAAAUUUGAAAAUGUACAUUUACAGAUAUUAUGUAGAUAUAAAUAUCAAAUUUAUAAUAAUUACCAUGGCAAAGAAUUGGCUCUAAGGCUAUGCCAACAAGCAUGCUCACAUCACAUUGUUCCAAUGAUUGAAGGAGCCUGAAAAGUUUUUAAUGAACGAAACAUUGUAAUGCCAAUUAGAGCUUCAGCCUUGCAGCUGCAACUUUCUACUGCUAAUGCUUCACAACUUAAUGUACAUAAAUCCUUAUCUGUUGUCGGCAGCCAAAAAUCUACAAAAAUGUCUAGCAUGUGUAGCACCUUUUCAAAUAAAGUCAUUUUUUGUAGAGGGUUUUAACAUGCACAGAGUUUUACUCAUUAUACUCUGUACUCAUACAACACACACAUAAAAUCAAAUAGACUACACAAAAUAAAUAAAGCAACAAAAUUAACAAAAACCAAGAAUGACUUCAAUAGUAGCGAAUCUUAUACCACCGGCGGGAAUUGGAGCAGCCGUACCCAUAUGGUUGAAAAUUGAUUGGAGUCCCGAAAUAGAGCAUGGCAUCUACAAGGACUGGGGCUCGUACUACUCGGGCCGGCGAAGGGAGAACAUGGCCAUGUACUACUACAACAAGGCACUCUCCAUGCUGCCCGAGGAUUAUGUGACCCUGUACCAUCGGAGCCAAACUAAGCGAAAAAAUGCCCAAACCGAAGGCGCUCUUAUGGAUUGUAACGAGGCAAAAAGUAUGUCCACACUCUGAGAAUGUUCUUUACUCUAUCUCUACUUUGUGGAUUUACAGGAAUCUUAAACGCACUUAAGAUCAAGAAUGCACCAAUUAAUUUGGAAAUAUGUGAUGCUCUCUAUGAACUGAAUCAGCUGGAGAUUGCCAAGGCGGAACUACACGAUAAUACGCGGCUGUUCAAGGGAAACAAAACAAAGUCAUUUGAGAAACGUCUCGUUGUGGUUGACGAGAACAUUAAAAACUGUUGUGGCGAAGAGCUAAGACAGUUCAUAGCUGCGAAUGAGAAGUUGUUAAUCCAUGUUAAACAACAGGACCUCAAGGCACGCAGUCAAGAUAAAAACAAGCCACUGUGGAAAUUGUUAAAGGAACAAAAUAAAUGUGAUGUUUUAAGUAUCCCAGAAAUCGAAGUAUGUAUAAAGCUUAACAUUUUUUUUGGUUGGUUCCUUUAACAACACUUUUUCUACACUUUUGCAAGGACGAGUUACUGUCGCCACUUGAAAUCGCAAGGCGACAUCGAGCAUUUGAUGUAUUUAAUCAAAUUUACAUGGACAAGUCAUGGAUCGAUGUGAUUUUCUUGAAAAAAUUGCUAAAGUAAU